rnacentral:rRNA from 1 species
GAGUUUGAUCCUGGCUCAGAUUGAACGCUGGCGGCAGGCCUAACACAUGCAAGUCGAGCGGAUGACGGGAGCUUGCUCCUUGAUUCAGCGGCGGACGGGUGAGUAAUGCCUAGGAAUCUGCCUGGUAGUGGGGGACAACGUUUCGAAAGGAACGCUAAUACCGCAUACGUCCUACGGGAGAAAGCAGGGGACCUUCGGGCCUUGCGCUAUCAGAUGAGCCUAGGUCGGAUUAGCUAGUUGGUGGGGUAAUGGCUCACCAAGGCGACGAUCCGUAACUGGUCUGAGAGGAUGAUCAGUCACACUGGAACUGAGACACGGUCCAGACUCCUACGGGAGGCAGCAGUGGGGGAAUAUUGGACAAUGGGCGAAAGCCUGAUCCAGCCAUGCCGCGUGUGUGAAGAAGGUCUUCGGAUUGUAAAGCACUUUAAGUUGGGAGGAAGGGCAGUAAGUUAAUACCUUGCUGUUUUGACGUUACCGACAGAAUAAGCACCGGCUAACUCUGUGCCAGCCGCCG